AUGGCCCUACGGGGCGCAGCAGUGGGGAAUAUUGGGCAAUGGGCGCAAGCCUGACCCAGCAACGCCGCGUGAAGGAAGAAGGCUUUCGGGUUGUAAACUUCUUUUAAGAGGGAAGAGCAGAAGACGGUACCUCUUGAAUAAGCCACGGCUAACUACGAGCCAGCAGCCGCGGUAAUACGUAGGGGGCAAGCGUUGUCCGGAUUUACUGGGUGUAAAGGGCGUGCAACCGGGAAGACAAGUCAGAUGUGAAAUCCUGCGUCUCAACCGCGGAACUGCAUUUGAAACUGUUAUUAUUGAGUACAGGG
rnacentral:rRNA from 1 species